ACGCUGGCGGCAUGCUUUACACAUGCAAGUCGGACGGCAGCACAGAGAAGCUUGCUUCUUGGGUGGCGAGUGGCGAACGGGUGAGUAAUAUAUCGGAACGUACCGAGUAAUGGGGGAUAACUAAUCGAAAGAUUAGCUAAUACCGCAUAUUCUCUGAGGAGGAAAGCAGGGGACCUUCGGGCCUUGCGUUAUUCGAGCGGCCGAUAUCUGAUUAGCUAGUUGGUGGGGUAAAGGCCUACCAAGGCGACGAUCAGUAGCGGGUCUGAGAGGAUGAUCCGCCACACUGGGACUGAGACACAGCCCAGACUCCUACGGGAGGCAGCAGUGGGGAAUUUUGGACAAUGGGCGCAAGCCUGAUCCAGCCAUGCCGCGUGUCUGAAGAAGGCCUUCGGGUUGUAAAGGACUUUUGUCAGGGAAGAAAAGGCUGUUGCUAAUACCGACAGCUGAUGACGGUACCUGAAGAAUAAGCACCGGCUAACUACGUGCCAGCAGCCGCGGUAAUACGUAGGGUGCGAGCGUUAAUCGGAAUUACUGGGCGUAAAGCGAGCGCAGACGGUUACUUAAGCAGGAUGUGAGAUCCCCGGGCUCAACCUGGGAACUGCGUUCUGAACUGGGUGACUAGAGUGUGUCAGAGGGAGGUAGAAUUCCACGUGUAGCAGUGAAAUGCGUAGAGAUGUGGAGGAAUACCGAUGGCGAAGGCAGCCUCCUGGGAUAACACUGACGUUCAUGCUCGAAAGCGUGGGUAGCAAACAGGAUUAGAUACCCUGGUAGUCCACGCCCUAAACGAUGUCAAUUAGCUGUUGGGCAACUUGAUUGCUUAGUAGCGUAGCUAACGCGUGAAAUUGACCGCCUGGGGAGUACGGUCGCAAGAUUAAAACUCAAAGGAAUUGACGGGGACCCGCACAAGCGGUGGAUGAUGU
rnacentral:rRNA from 1 species